rnacentral:rRNA from 1 species
UAGGGAAUAUUGGACAAUGGGUGCAAGCCUGAUCCAGCCAUGCCGCGUGCAGGAAGAAGGCUUUCUGAGUUGUAAACUGCUUUUGCCGGGGGAUAAAAAGUCCUUGCGAGGACAAUUGAAGGUACCUGGUGAAUAAGCCACGGCUAACUACGUGCCAGCAGCCGCGGUAAUACGUAGGUGGCAAGCGUUGUCCGGAUUUAUUGGGUUUAAAGGGUGCGUAGGCGGUUCUUUAAGUCAGUGGUGAAAUACGGCAGCUUAACUGUCGAGGUGCCAUUGAUACUGGGGAACUUGAGUACUGAUGAGGUAGGCGGAAUGGACGGUGUAGCGGUGAAAUGCUUAGAUAUCGUCCAGAACACCGAUAGCGAAGGCAGCUUACUAAGGAGUAACUGACGCUGAGGCACGAAAGUGUGGGGAUCAAAC